rfam:Aedes albopictus isolate Foshan contig126587, whole genome shotgun sequence.
UGCACAGCAACUCCUAUCCCUACCUCCACGCGGUACCGGCCGGAAACUAUGAGCAACCUUAGGGAAGAUCGGGUAACCAACCCCGGUGGGAACUUUGGUCGUAGGCUGACAGGGAAGG